UGGGGCGUGGUGCAAUGGCAGCAUAACGGACUUUGAAUCCGCUGAUCCAGGUUCGAGUCCUGGCGCCCCAU
rnacentral:tRNA from 1 species